rnacentral:piRNA from 1 species
UGCAUUCGGCAUUUUUAUAUU